UUAAGCGACUAAGCGUACACGGUGGAUGCCCUGGCAGUCAGAGGCGAUGAAGGACGUGCUAAUCUGCGAUAAGCGUCGGUAAGGUGAUAUGAACCGUUAUAACCGGCGAUUUCCGAAUGGGGAAACCCAGUGUGUUUCGACACACUAUCAUUAACUGAAUCCAUAGGUUAAUGAGGCGAACCGGGGGAACUGAAACAUCUAAGUACCCCGAGGAAAAGAAAUCAACCGAGAUUCCCCCAGUAGCGGCGAGCGAACGGGGAGCAGCCCAGAGCCUGAAUCAGUNUGUGUGUUAGUGGAAGCGUCUGGAAAGGCGCGCGAUACAGGGUGACAGCCCCGUACACAAAAAUGCACAUGCUGUGAGCUCGAUGAGUAGGGCGGGACACGUGGUAUCCUGUCUGAAUAUGGGGGGACCAUCCUCCAAGGCUAAAUACUCCUGACUGACCGAUAGUGAACCAGUACCGUGAGGGAAAGGCGAAAAGAACCCCGGCGAGGGGAGUGAAAAAGAACCUGAAACCGUGUACGUACAAGCAGUGGGAGCACGCUUAGGCGUGUGACUGCGUACCUUUUGUAUAAUGGGUCAGCGACUUAUAUUCUGUAGCAAGGUUAACCGAAUAGGGGAGCCGAAGGGAAACCGAGUCUUAACUGGGCGUUAAGUUGCAGGGUAUAGACCCGAAACCCGGUGAUCUAGCCAUGGGCAGGUUGAAGGUUGGGUAACACUAACUGGAGGACCGAACCGACUAAUGUUGAAAAAUUAGCGGAUGACUUGUGGCUGGGGGUGAAAGGCCAAUCAAACCGGGAGAUAGCUGGUUCUCCCCGAAAGCUAUUUAGGUAGCGCCUCGUGAAUUCAUCUCCGGGGGUAGAGCACUGUUUCGGCAAGGGGGUCAUCCCGACUUACCAACCCGAUGCAAACUGCGAAUACCGGAGAAUGUUAUCACGGGAGACACACGGCGGGUGCUAACGUCCGUCGUGAAGAGGGAAACAACCCAGACCGCCAGCUAAGGUCCCAAAGUCAUGGUUAAGUGGGAAACGAUGUGGGAAGGCCCAGACAGCCAGGAUGUUGGCUUAGAAGCAGCCAUCAUUUAAAGAAAGCGUAAUAGCUCACUGGUCGAGUCGGCCUGCGCGGAAGAUGUAACGGGGCUAAACCAUGCACCGAAGCUGCGGCAGCGACNNNNNNNNNNNNNNNNNNNNNNNNNNNNNNNNNNNAUGCUGGAGGUAUCAGAAGUGCGAAUGCUGACAUAAGUAACGAUAAAGCGGGUGAAAAGCCCGCUCGCCGGAAGACCAAGGGUUCCUGUCCAACGUUAAUCGGGGCAGGGUGAGUCGACCCCUAAGGCGAGGCCGAAAGGCGUAGUCGAUGGGAAACAGGUUAAUAUUCCUGUACUUGGUGUUACUGCGAAGGGGGGACGGAGAAGGCUAUGUUGGCCGGGCGACGGUUGUCCCGGUUUAAGCGUGUAGGCUGGUUUUCCAGGCAAAUCCGGAAAAUCAAGGCUGAGGCGUGAUGACGAGGCACUACGGUGCUGAAGCAACAAAUGCCCUGCUUCCAGGAAAAGCCUCUAAGCAUCAGGUAACAUCAAAUCGUACCCCAAACCGACACAGGUGGUCAGGUAGAGAAUACCAAGGCGCUUGAGAGAACUCGGGUGAAGGAACUAGGCAAAAUGGUGCCGUAACUUCGGGAGAAGGCACGCUGAUAUGUAGGUGAAGUCCCUCGCGGAUGGAGCUGAAAUCAGUCGAAGAUACCAGCUGGCUGCAACUGUUUAUUAAAAACACAGCACUGUGCAAACACGAAAGUGGACGUAUACGGUGUGACGCCUGCCCGGUGCCGGAAGGUUAAUUGAUGGGGUUAGCGCAAGCGAAGCUCUUGAUCGAAGCCCCGGUAAACGGCGGCCGUAACUAUAACGGUCCUAAGGUAGCGAAAUUCCUUGUCGGGUAAGUUCCGACCUGCACGAAUGGCGUAAUGAUGGCCAGGCUGUCUCCACCCGAGACUCAGUGAAAUUGAACUCGCUGUGAAGAUGCAGUGUACCCGCGGCAAGACGGAAAGACCCCGUGAACCUUUACUAUAGCUUGACACUGAACAUUGAGCCUUGAUGUGUAGGAUAGGUGGGAGGCUUAGAAGUGUGGACGCCAGUCUGCAUGGAGCCGACCUUGAAAUACCACCCUUUAAUGUUUGAUGUUCUAACGUUGACCCGUAAUCCGGGUUGCGGACAGUGUCUGGUGGGUAGUUUGACUGGGGCGGUCUCCUCCUAAAGAGUAACGGAGGAGCACGAAGGUUGGCUAAUCCUGGUCGGACAUCAGGAGGUUAGUGCAAUGGCAUAAGCCAGCUUGACUGCGAGCGUGACGGCGCGAGCAGGUGCGAAAGCAGGUCAUAGUGAUCCGGUGGUUCUGAAUGGAAGGGCCAUCGCUCAACGGAUAAAAGGUACUCCGGGGAUAACAGGCUGAUACCGCCCAAGAGUUCAUAUCGACGGCGGUGUUUGGCACCUCGAUGUCGGCUCAUCACAUCCUGGGGCUGAAGUAGGUCCCAAGGGUAUGGCUGUUCGCCAUUUAAAGUGGUACGCGAGCUGGGUUUAGAACGUCGUGAGACAGUUCGGUCCCUAUCUGCCGUGGGCGCUGGAGAACUGAGGGGGGCUGCUCCUAGUACGAGAGGACCGGAGUGGACGCAUCACUGGUGUUCGGGUUGUCAUGCCAAUGGCACUGCCCGGUAGCUAAAUGCGGAAGAGAUAAGUGCUGAAAGCAUCUAAGCACGAAACUUGCCCCGAGAUGAGUUCUCCCUGACUCCUUGAGAGUCCUGAAGGAACGUUGAAGACGACGACGUUGAUAGGUCGGGUGUGUAAGCGCAGCGAUGCGUUGAGCUAACCGGUACUAAUGAACCGUGAGGCUUAACCUU
rnacentral:rRNA from 1 species